rnacentral:lncRNA from 1 species
CACAGGAUAAAAUGUUUAUUUUCCAUAAAUACUAGUCCAUGCCUGUCUCUCACUAUCAAACAAAUCUAACAGCUGGAAUUUAAAACAAGUGUGUGCUGUUUUGAUGAAGUAUGUUCCUGGGGCUCUUGUGAACUUAAUCUGUGUAUUAUUAUAACACACUGGAUGUUCCGUCUAGGACCUUAAAAACACAAGAGUUAUAUAAGCUUAGACAUUAAAAAAAAGGAAAGUAAAUACAGUCCACUCCACCUCGAAUCUUCCAAGCAUUUUAAGGAUAAGGAUAUUGUCAAUGGCUGAGUAAAAACAGCAUGGGUAAUUGUUUUUUACUAGCAUUUCAAGUGCAAAAAUAUCUUUGGUGGGUUUUCAAGAAUGACUAUAAAGUCAAUCUAACUUCCACUCUUAAUGAGUCCCACACAAGAAAUUAACCGUGUGUUUGGGCUACUUGAAGUUCUUGCUGAAGCAGCUGCAGCUCCUAAAUGUUAACUCCACGGGGCUCCCACCCAUUGUAAUGUGCUCUGAUGCGGCUAUCUUUCCUACUGCAGCCUGUUUACUCUUUGGACAGCUGCACCUCCUCCUGAUCUGCUGACCUGAAGGCAAUAAAAUUUUUUUCUUACGGGUCAGUGUAAUAUUAGAGGAGAGAAACGAUGCUUAGAAGGUCGGUUACCGCUGCUGUAGCCACAGGUUAUGAGCGACGGCUGAGCAAGUAGAGGAGGGGGAAGAAGGGGCAUUCUUGUUUCUACCCCUAAAUCCCGCCUUCCUCUGAGACCAGUCCGGAGCAGAAGUCCUUACUGCGGCGGUGGGCACGCAAUACCCGUCAUGUCGCCUGGGCCUUAUAGGAGGAAUUUUUAACAUACUCAUGUUCCUUCGAAUAGCUCUCCUGGAUUCUGAUCUGUUAAACCAGAUGCGUUGUUAAGUGGUAACCUGGUUUUGCCCUCUCUUCGGAAUCUGCCUUGAGUUAUUUUUGCUUAAAAUCAAAAAUGGUGCCCUAGGAGAUCUUUCCUUUUUUCCCUGGCUCAGCUGGGAAAAAGAGGGCGGGAUCCUUGCCGCUCACACUGAGGAAGAUCCCUCGUCGGCCGCUACUCGCUUCGGAGGCCCUGGACCACCGGUCCGCCUUAGCCCUGCCCCGGGAUGGGCGCCUUCUGAAAUCCACCUCGAAUUCUGUCUCUCCGCGUGGAGCUUCGUGGACGGGUUAGACGUGAGGGCCCGGGCGGGGGAGCCUCUUUCGUCCCCCUUGCGGCACGACCCCACCUGAGGUCGUCCUUCCCUUGCCCACCCGGGCGGACCAGGCAACGGGUACCGCGACCCUCCCGCACUUCCGGCCGGUUUCGAGUGCGCAAAGGGUUCCUCGGAGCUGGGGGAUGCUCGCUAUCCACAGAGAAAGACCGCAAGGAACCCUUGCUGAACCCUCUGUCUCUGCGGAGGGCGGGGCGGGGCUGUGAGACGGGUGCGCUGGGCGCGCAAACGCGGCCCCGGGGCGGGGUUUCGCGCUGCAAGGGGCCAAAUCGCCGAGUCCAAGUUGAGCAACCAGCGAGGAGAGAGACACCGCCCCUGGCUGGGGCAGGGGGGGAGGGGGGUCCUCUUCUCUCAUCCGAUUGGUGAGCCGAGGGAGCCUAUCACCGUCGGCUGCCUCUGCCGGAGCCGUUUGCUGGUUUCCAUUCAUUGGCCCCGAAGCCGCACUUGGAUUUCCAUCUUUUGUGGCGCGAAAAUAACCCUUUGCUCCUUCACAUUGGUUUUGUUUUUGUUGAGGGGGGGUGGGGGGUGAAAUUGGGCUCUCCUCUUCUUGCUCUCAUUUUUCCUGCCCUUUAACUGUGUGCCCCCAGCUCCAACUCCCAAGGAGGAAAGAGAGGUAACUAGGGAAGAGUGGAAAAUAGUUGUGCGUGUGGAUCCCGCCCCUUGGGCUGACCGCGUGGUGCCCACAGAGUCCUUUCCCUUCCCCCACCGUCCAGCUCCCGGAGGUCGUAGGUUUGCGCCAUACUCAGCAGCUGGAGUCACCUCGUUUCCCUGCUUGUAUCCAACAUCUUAGAAUUUACCCAUCUUUUUUAGUUAAAACGACAAAAUACGCUUCCAGCUGCCUGAUUUUUCUGGGGCUUCUAGAGAAAUCGACUUAUUCUGCACCCUCCUUCCCUAACCCCCUUUGUGGUCCACAGGGUUGUUUUAAGCAAAACCAAACAAUCCCUCCAAAAAAAGCAAACGAAAAAUUCCGAGUAAAAUCAACUGUGGCGAGACCACGUUUUCGUUGAAGAUUCUCUACGACCAAAGAACUGAGACCGACCUUGAAAUAAGCGAUUUCUGCAGCUGAAACGUUCUAAUUUUGCUGACGUUUGGUGGAGACAGUGAGAAAAAAUAAAUACAAAUUUGCCUUGGAGAAGCACAAAACAAACGAAUAAUCGUAUUUAAUUUGAUUAAAUGAAAAAGCUGACAGCUACAGUGGUGUAUUCUAUCUAGGUAGUGGUGUCUUCGGUGCACUUGUAAUUUUAUGGAUAAGUUGCUACUGGUCUCAGAAAUAAAGAUCAGAACUCUGACCAUGGAAGAAAAGAAGGAAGUAUAAAUUUAUUUGAUAUAUCUAAUUUCAUAACAGACUUUCCAAUUCUUUGAUUAUCUGAGGAAAAGGAAAAGUACCAUUUGGAAAUGUAACAAUAACUUGUUCACAGAUAAUUGAAUUACUCACUUUUUAAGCCAUGACAAAAUACUUGAUUUGGUUUAAAACUAAACAAUAAAUUCCCAGUACAUAUUUUAAAACUUUGAGAGAAUUGGCUUGAAUCAGUAAGUUCAAUUUUUUUUCCAUAUUUUUAACUCCUCGCUGGUAGUCAAGUUAUAUCAAACUCUUAAGUUCAUAUGGAAAAACUAUUUAAUUCUGUACUCGCCUUUUAGUCUCUAAAAAUCAACUAAUUGAAGUGACAUAAAUUACCAUGUAUCAUAAUGCUAAAACAAAGUUUUUUGAGCAGCUUUUUAAAACUGACUUAAUUAGUAAAGAAAAGCUGUUUUAAAAUAUACACAUUUUGUUUACAUUUUGUAUAAUUCAGCUACAUUUCACUAAUGUGGUCAGUCAAUAAUGUAUUUUUGAAGUUUUCAUGUAAAAUUAUUUCUCAGUAACAUCACAGUAACUUACAAAUAGUUUAUUUUGAGUUGAGCUAAUUAAAGCCUAGAGACUGAAUUUAUGGUGUAAAUACUGAAGAUUACAGAGUUAAUAAUUUAUAUAACCUUUAAACAUGUAAGAAAUUUAAAAUGUGAACUCAUGAUUAUUUGUAAAAUGAUUCUAGAUUGGGAUUUUUAUAUUGUAUAAUUUUAAUACUUUAAAAAUGAUACAGUAGAAAAAAUAAAAAUUUUUUGAGUAAAUUUUAAUUGUAAGAAAAGUUUAAAAAUUAAUCUGGAAAAGCCAAAACUCUAAAACCUGAGCUAUUUUCAAAUGUUUUCUCAAAUUCAAAGAUUUACAUAACCAGUAUUUUUCUUUAAGAAGACUUUGUUCCGGUUGGAGAAAUUGAUGUUUUUCAUUUUCAACUACUAAGUCAGGAAUGAGAAUUUUCAUCUAUCUGGUAAACUUUAUACAUAAUUGUUUAAGUAGUAGAUAAGCAUGAUUCCUUUAAUGCAAUUAUAUCCUCUGUUUUACUGCUUCACAGGGUGAAACUUAUUACUCCUCUAGGAGGGGGAAGGGAUGAGACCUUUAGUGAAAAGACUCUUUGGUAAUUGGUGUGUACAUAAGUAUUUUCAGACCAACCAUAGAGAACAAAGAAGACAGGCAUUUGUUUGUGGGGGCAGGGGUAUGGGGAGGCUGAGAAGACUUGGAUAUUUAAACUUGUUUCUUGGUUGCAACUCAUUUAUCCUGCAGGUCUCCUUGCUAAGGGUGGAGGGAAGAGAGAGAAAUGUAUUAACUAAUGGAGUAAAAAGGGACAGUAAUCCAAGCAUGAAAUCCCACCAGAGAGAACAAUAAGAACCUCCUCUCCCCACUAAAAUAUUCAGAAAGCAAAGCACAUGCUGAGGUUAUAACUAGUUCUCAGCAUUUCCUCACACAUACAUUUUAAAGAUAUCCUAGAUUACUAUUUUCAUAUUGGAACCGUUUUUUUUCUUGAGCAUUUCUUUUCCACAAUUCUGUCCCCCCCAAAAAAAGGGGGGGCAACUAAAAUUUCCUUAAUGAAACAGCAGAUUUCAUGACAGAUGUAUACAAAAAAUAAGCUCCUUUAGAGAUAAACUGAGGAAUCCUUCACAUUGUCUGUAAGUGAAAAGUUAAUUUUUAGAUUUAAUAAGGCAGAGUAUAUCUGUAAAUUCCUUACUUGCAGGAAUAAUGGUAGAUCAUUACCAUUUCCACUUUGACUCUUUAAAAUGCAUUCCAUCUUGUGUUCAGUUUUCAUUUUGGUCCUGAGCCUCUCUAGCAUGAUGACCUAAGCUUUAAAGAUAGAAGCAGCAGGCUACAUGAGAAUUUUUGCUGUUAUUUCAGAAUAUCUCAACUAAAAUUCAUAAGAAUCUGAGAACAUAAGAUACAGCAGUUAAAAAAAAAAAAAACCUAAUCUGAAAUUUUAUAGUGUAAAUCUAUAAAUAUUUGUCCUAAAAUCCAUGCCUAACAAAUGUCUGUUGAAACAUUUACUUCUUUUUUGCAGUAGGUUGCUUAAAAAUAUAAAAGUUGGUAGUAUUUUUUUUUUUUUUUGCUUUUCUCAAAUGACACAUUUACUGAUCAAUUAUUUUUAAAUUGACAGUGCUAGUACCUUCUCAAAGGCAACAUUUUGCUUCAACUGAGGUUUAAUAUCAAUAAUUGAAUCUUAUAAUUUUCCCUUUUUACUUAAUUUUUGGGAAGGGGGAUGUCUUAUGCCAGUCAUUGAAGUAAUUUUUCUAUUUUUAAGUUAUUUUUCUUUGUAAAAUAUUCAUAUUUUAUUUGUAAUCUAAAAGUGUUUUUUUAGCAUUUUCCAAGAGUUAGAGUUUAAGUGUAACUAAAUCUUACUGUGUAACAUAUUAUUUAAGACUUUUUAAAUGUGUAUAAUUUGAUUCAAAGAAAUAUGAAAUAUAUUACUAUUGAAUAUUUUCCACUUAGCUAACAUAACUGAAUGGUUCUUCUUUCUAAUUCUAAUCUAUUCUAACUCUAAUCUACAUAUUAAAAUUUUAAAUCAUGAAAAGGAUACUAACAAAAAUCAUAAAAAACAAAAAAAAAUCAAUUUUGUUACAUCAGAAAAAAGGCAUGGUUUCUGUUAUACUGUUAACAUUUUGUUCUGGGAUAAUUAAAUUCAGAAUAAUGUUACCAUCUUUUGUUUUCGUUUGUUGAAAAUUGUCUAGAAUUUUGCUCCUUGAUUCUAUUACCAUAUUUCCUAUGGUAAUUUAUUUGCUCCUACGUUUCUUUACUACCAAGAUUCAAAUGCCAUUUUUGGUUUUGAUUGAAAUGAAUGGCCAUCUAUAAAAAGCCAAAUUGAAAAUAAACUAAUUUUUUUUAAAUUUGGUGUAGAACACUAUAAAUGCUUAUCUCUGGCAACCGUAGGAAUACAUUCAAAUUUUAUUUUAAGUCACAGCCAAUACUGUGACUUUUUAAAGCAAAUUAAAUUGGAUUUUGUUUCAAAUAUCAAUAAACAACAAAAAAAAAGUUGAGUAAAUGUUUUAAUCUAGUAAAGUAGACAAUAGGGUUAAAGGUAACAUUACUCUGUCAAAAACAACAAAUCUUCCAGCUGAGGGCAGUUUUGUCGGGUAUGGAAGGUAUGGAAUGCAGUCAGUGUGCAGUUGGACAGGAGAACAUAUGUACAUACUCCUGCUGAGAAGCCCUUUGUAAAAAUUUGUGGAAUAAAACAAGAUAGCACUUGUGUUCAAAUUCUGAGGUUGCAGGUUAAAACAAACAAGAUAAGCACUAUUUUAUUAAAUUUAUUUCUUAACUCUCAGAGUACUUCAAUAUGAUGUUUUUAAGAAUGGGAAGAGAAGAUUAACAAUACAGAUUGAACUGGUAUUAGGAUGCUAUUAGUACAUCAACAUUAGAAUUUAAAUAAUACAAAUAUGUUUGGAAUUUUCUAUUUUUCUUUGCCUUGUUUUCUAUUAAAAAAAAUUACAUAUAUUUAAAAUACCCAAUAGUGUUAUUAAAACAUACAUGUAAUGAAUUUUAAAACUUGUGGGAUAAUGUCACAAGUUUGGAAAAUUCUAAGUGUUAAGUUUACUCACAAAGUCAUUAUCACAGAUGCUUUCUAUUGGACUGUCCUGCCACUUCUCUUUGUGCAUGUGAUCCUUAUAUAUAGUUUCUUUUAACCAAACUCAGUAGCAUUAUUUGAGAAAAGUUCCCUGUUUUAAAAAGAGUCAAAGAUAUGAUUUGUGCUAUUGUGAAAACAAUAAAGCAUUUUGAAACCUAAAUACAGAGAGGAAACUCAGAUUUUAAGUAAAAGCUGGGUCCUAUUAUUUACUGUAGUUUCUAUAUUUAUUGAGAGAGAGGGAAAUGGAUUAACUGUAAUGUUGCUUCAGGGCUGACCACUAAUAAAGUUUUUAGUGGCUAUAAAUAAAAAAUGUUGUUUCAGUCAAUGAUAGCCCCUUCCUCUUACUAUUCUUAGAAGAGAUUCUCUUCCCUUGAUUAUUAAAUAUCCCUAAAUUAUUUCAUUACAAAGUUGAGGGAAAGUCAUGUUCAUUAGGAUAGCCAAAUAUUUUUAACACCUUGAGCUUCUGACAGAUGAAGAAUGACCAUUGCUUUUUAAAUAUACAAAACUCUUUUUAUUGUAAUGUGAUACAUUUAUUUUCUUUCCUUACCUCUACCAAUGUUCUGUUAAUAUGGUAAUAAGCUGAAUUAAUAUGGAAAUAAAUAUAUUACAUCCAAAGUGCAGAAAAGAUGUAUAAGCAAGAAGAUCAAAAUCCAUGUAUCUUGAUUAAGCUAAAAAUUAAAGUAUCCUCCCACAACCAAAUCCAGUGAUUAAGUUUAUAGUUCUUAUUUACUAAAGUCUAUAACAGUUAAAAAUUUGAACGUAAUUGUUGGCUUACAGUUUCUACUAAUUAUCAUGGAAAGAAUUUCUUCAAUAGUGUGUGGUUUCUUUUAAUGUAACUUUAUAUGUGAUAUAAAAACCAGUUACUUUGUUACUUAAAUGUUUUUUCAUAUUUCCUUGCAAUAAAUUUGAGAACAUGAAGGUUAAGCUGAAGACUAUUAGUUAUUUUAUUAAAAUCUAUUAUCUGUGGGUUAAAAUGUGGCAUUUUCCUUCUGAUUCUUCCUUGAAAGCUUGAAAUAUAACCUAUUAAAAACCAAGAGAUGUAAUGGCAUUUAUAAGCUCAUAAAAAUAUUUCUAAUUUUUAAAAAGAUAAUCUUACAGAUAAUAUAAGGAUAUUAGAGAAUUUGAUUUAUAUAUAUGUAACUAAUUAGAAGUUGGACUUUUAAAUAGAAAUUUAUUUUGAAAGCAAUACGAUUCAAGCAAAUUGCCAUGGAAUACAAUCACCAAAGUGAUUAUGAAAUGUAAAACGAGGUUAUAGACUCUGAAUUUUUAAUUCUAUUAUGGAUAUGCCAAUAUAAACAUGCAAAUUAUUGUUUUCAAAAGCCCAGGCUAGAGUGGAUGUAAAGCCAUGAAAGCAGGCUAUGGUGUAAAGGGAAGUCAGUGUUUAAAGCACUUGUAACAGGAAAAAGCUGUGUGAACCAGAAGAUAUCUAGAUUCACUAUAGUAAAUAGCAAGUUACAAUUUCUCUAAAAUGAAAUUUUGAUAGUUAAGAUUUUGUCUUUGGAAAUAUAAACUGUUAGCACUUUUUUAUUUAAUGGAAAGAGAAAGGGAUUGAGACAAUGCAUAUUAGAAUUUAGUACUAAAAGACUCUAAGUGGGAAAGCAGUCCUUUAUGUAUAUAAUCUAUUCCAAAAGUCUUGGAUAGUUUGUAUAGAGAAGUUUAAGCUUUUCAUUUGUGUAUUUAAUUGUACAGAGUAUCUUCUCUUUUAUAUGUCUUUAGGCUGAAUGUGCUUCAUUAUAAGACAAUUCUAGAAUUUGAGGACCGAGAGGACUUUUGAGGAUCUGCUAGAUUCCCAUUUUACAUUUGAGGAAACUGAAAUCAAGGCAGGUAGACACACAGCUAGUUCAGUGGCAGGGCUGAGAUGUGUUGAUCACUGAAUAAAACCACAUAACAAUCCUGAGUAGAAGAUAGUUCCUAUUUUUGGUGGAAAGCAAACCAACCAAAGGUGAGGUUUGCCCAGACUCAAUAUCAUUACUUUGUUUAACAGAACAAAAACUGGAGUUCCCAUUGCGGCACAGCAGAAACGAAUCCAACUAGGAACCAUGAGGUUUCAGGUUUGAUCCCUGGCCUCACUCAGUUGGUUAAGGAUCCAGCGUUGCCAUGAGCGUGGUGUAGGUCACAGACGAGGCUCAGAUCUGGCGUUGCUGUGUCUCUGGUGUAGGCUGGCAGCAACAGCUCCUAUUGGACCCCUAGCCUGGGAACCUCCAUAUGCUGCGAGUGCAGCC